rnacentral:rRNA from 1 species
GAUGAACGCUAGCGGCAGGCUUAAUACAUGCAAGUCGAGGGGCAGCAGCUUUAUAGCAAUAUAGAGGCUGGCGACCGGCAAACGGGUGCGGAACACGUACACAACCUUCCUUUAAGAGGGGGAUAGCCCACAGAAAUGUGGAUUAAUACCCCGUAACAUAUCGGUGUGGCAUCACACUGUUAUUAUAGUUUCGACGCUUGAAGAUGGGUGUGCGGCUGAUUAGGUAGUUGGCGGGGUAAAGGCCCACCAAGCCUUCGAUCAGUAGCUGAUGUGAGAGCAUGAUCAGCCAAACGGGCACUGAGACACGGGCCCGACUCCUACGGGAGGCAGCAGUAAGGAAUAUUGGUCAAUGGACGCAAGUCUGAACCAGCCAUGCCGCGUGAAGGAUGAAGGUCCUCUGGAUUGUAAACUUCUUUUAUAGGGGGCGAAAAAAGGGAAUUCUUUCUCACUUGACAGUACCCUAUGAAUAAGCACCGGCUAACUCCGUGCCAGCAGCCGCAGUAA